rnacentral:rRNA from 1 species
AAUCAACGCUGGCGGCAUGCCUCAGACAUGCAAGUCGAACGAUUAAAGCUCUCUUCGGAGAGUGCAUAGAGUGGCGCACGGGUGAGUAACACGUAAGUAAUCUACCCUCGAGUGGGGAAUAACGUCCGGAAACGGGCGCUAAUACCGCAUAAUGCAGCGGCAUCAUAAGAUGACAGUUGUUAAAGAUUUAUCGCUUGAGGAGGAGCUUGCGGCAGAUUAGCUAGUUGGUAAGGUAACGGCUUACCAAGGCUACGAUCUGUAACCGGUCUUAGAGGACGGUCGGUCACACUGACACUGAAUAACGGGUCAGACUCCUACGGGAGGCAGCAGUCGGGAAUUUUGGGCAAUGGGCGAAAGCCUGACCCAGCAACGCCGCGUGAAGGAUGAAGUAUUUCGGUAUGUAAACUUCGAAAGAAUAGGAAGAAUUAAUGACGGUACUAUUUAUAAGGUCCGGCUAACUACGUGCCAGCAGCCGCAGUAAUAC